rnacentral:rRNA from 1 species
AUUGAACGCUGGCGGCAGGCCUAACACAUGCAAGUCGAACGAGUGGCGGACGGGUGAGUAAUGUCUGGGAAACUGCCUGAUGGAGGGGGAUAACUACUGGAAACGGUAGCUAAUACCGCAUACCAUCAGAUGUGCCCAGAUGUGAUUAGCUGGUUGGUGGGGUAACGGCGCACCAAGGCGACGAUCCCUAGCUGGUCUGAGAGGAUGACCAGCAACACGGGAACUGUGACACGGUCCAGUCACCUACGGGAGUCAGCAGUGGGGAAUAGUGCACAAUGGGCGCAGGCCUGAUGCAGCCAUGCAGCGUGUAUGAAGAAGGCGGUCGGGUUGUAAAGGACUUUCAGCGGGGAGGCGUUACCUGCAGAAGAAGAACCGGCUAACUUCGUGCCAGCAGCCGCGGGAAUUC